rnacentral:rRNA from 1 species
AUUGAACGCUGGCGGCAGGCUUAACACAUGCAAGUCGAGCGGAGAUGAGGUGCUUGCACCUUAUCUUAGCGGCGGACGGGUGAGUAAUGCUUAGGAAUCUGCCUAUUAGUGGGGGACAACAUUCCGAAAGGAAUGCUAAUACCGCAUACGUCCUACGGGAGAAAGCAGGGGAUCUUCGGACCUUGCGCUAAUAGAUGAGCCUAGGUCGGAUUAGCUAGUUGGUGGGGUAAAGGCCUACCAAGGCGACGAUCUGUAGCGGGUCUGAGAGGAUGAUCCGCCCCACGGGGAGUGGGACACGGCCCAGACGCCGACGGGAGGCAGCAGUGGGGAAUAUUGGACCAUGGGGGGAACCCUGAUCCAGCCAUGCCGCGUGUUUGAAGAAGGCCUUAUGGUUGUAAAGCACUUUAAGCGAGGAGGAGGCUACUGAGACUAAUACUCUUGGAUAGUGGACGUUACUCGCAGAAUAAGCACCGGCUAACUCUGUGCCAGCAGCCGCGGUAAAAC